rnacentral:rRNA from 1 species
UGGGGAAUAUUGGGCAAUGGAGGGAACUCUGACCCAGCGACGCCGCGUGCGGGAUGAAGGCCUUCGGGUUGUAAACCGCUUUCAGCAAGGAAGAAGCGAAAGUGACGGUACUUGCAGAAGAAGCACCGGCUAACUAUGUGACAGCAGCCGCGGUAAUACAUCGGGUGCAAGCGUUGUCCGGAAUUAUUGGGCGUAAAGAGCUCGUAGGUGGUUCGUCACGUCGGAUGUGAAAAUCUGGGGCUUAACCCC